rnacentral:rRNA from 1 species
UACGUAGGGGGCAAGCGUUGUCCGGAUUAUUGGGCGUAAAGAGCGUGUAGGCGGUUUGGUAGGUCCGCUGUGAAAACUCGAGGCUCAACCUCGAGACGCCGGUGGAAACCAUCAGACUAGAGUCCGGAAGAGGAGAGUGGAAUUCCGUGGUGUAGCGGUGAAAUGCGCAGAUAUCAGGAAGAACACCCGUGGCUAAGGCGGCUCUCUAGUACGGUACUGACGCUGAGACGCGAAAGCGUGGGGAGCGAACAGG